rnacentral:lncRNA from 1 species
UAGACAACAAAGGAGUUCUUCAGAUAACUAUCAACAAAAAAAUAUCUCGAGCAUUCAACAUAGUGGCCAACUAGUUGAUGGGAAAUCAAGUAGGAGAACCUCAAUGGAUUGUCAAGAAUUCAAGGAUGUGUAUGAAGAUGUGGAAGCAUCUCACAUCGCGAGUCGCCGUUAUUCAUCAAGAUGGAGUGCAAACUCAAAGCUUACAAAACCUGAGUCUGCACUCAUUCAGCCGAAGUUUACGAAUGCAAAACAUCUUUCCACCAAUGAAAAGCUUCUAGGUUCAAAAAAAUUUUCUGAAACACUUGAGUUGGUAGACUCAAAUGACUCAUUUCAGAAAUUUCUUCAGCAUCCAGAUUCCUUAUUUGUAAAGCAUAUUCAUGAUCUAGAAGUUGAUCCUUCCAGUUCUCUUCAUGGUCACAUAAAAGUUCUGAAGCCAUCAAAUUCUGCAAAGUAUGAAAACAAUGCCAAGGCAUGGAAAUCAGAGAGAGAGAUUUCAUGCAAACAUGCCAUGAUCCAGAAACUUGAAGAUGGCCUUUUAUUCCACCCACGCAAUUGCCAUAUAGCUCAUGUUUCUUGCAAGUCACCAAAGAUUCAAUUACAAGAGAUGAAUAGCAGAAAUACUCUUCCCACGAAGAUUGUUGUUCUCAAGCCAAACCUUGGAAAGAUACACAGUGCUCGUGCAUCUGAUUCAUCGCCUGAUUACUCACAUAAUUACCCCUCCAACUUUAGGAAGCUCGCAGAAUAUAGAAGUGUUGGAGCUACUGAAAUACUAUAUGGGAAAAGGAGAGAUUCAUCUGAUGACAUAGGAUCCUUGAAGCCCUUGUCAGGAGAUGCUAGAGAAAUUGGCAUAGGAAGUCCAAAAGUUCUACAAGUAUCGAAGGUAAAUUUUUUUCUGUAGUCUAUACUAUUUUUAGAUGAUUGUUUUCAAUGGUUAAGCACUUUGGUCUUCGUGAAGAGAAAUUUUGUUUUGUGUAAGAGACCAAAACUUUUUUAUUUUAUUUUAUUUUUUAUUUAUGAGUUUGGUUUGAUGAGUUUUUCUAAUGCGUUUCAGUUUUUGAAGAUGAUUAGAUGAUCAAAGAAAAAAGGGAAAAUAUUGAAUUUGUUCUUCUUUGGCUUGUUUUCCUUUUUAGGAGAAAUUUGAAAUGAAAAGCUUUCUAUCUCUGAAAAUGAAAAAGGAAAAUUGAAAUCUUCAAUUUUUUCUUCCCCUUCAUUAUGACGUUUUAUCAACGAUGAUGUCUCAUAUUCCAGAAAAUUUGUAGUGUUUUCACUACUCUAGCUCCUGAAUUUUUCUUAUAUUAAUCGGAACCUUUAAGCUAAGAAAAAGGAGAGAGGCUGAGGAUUUUUUAUUAAUUCGUAAUGUUUGCUACUUUCAUGACAAUUUCAAAGUUUAAUGAAUUAUUAUUUUUAUUUUUCAAUUUUACUUCUUCUUGUUAUUUUUUAAUUAUACUUCUUGUGAGAACAUUUUUGUCAUUGAUUAAUCUGUUUAGUCAUUAAUUAAGCAAUGAUAAAGAAUCUGUGCUUAGCUGUUUAAUUUCAAUUUCUUGCUGUUGUUAAACAUAAAGUUUAUAAAUGACAUUGAGCUGGCUUUUGCAGAAGGUUCUAGCAAGUGUAAUCAAACAGUGUGUGUGUGUUUUUUUUUUUUUUGGCUAAUGGUCUCAGCAUUAUUUGUUUCCCUUUUACUUGUAAACUUUCUUAUUAUGAUAAAUUAUCAUUGUCGGCCCUAGUCCUUCAGGAGAACCUGUAUUAGUUUUAUUUAGAUUUUCUUCUGAAUUCUAUUUAUGCUUAUCUUAGAAUUUUCCAAAUUUUAAAAAUUAUUCUGUUAACAUACAGUUUGUAUUUUUAGACUGAGAUAAGAGAAUUUUGUUUUUUUUCUUUUUGUUUUUUGUUUUUUGUUUUUCUGUUUUCCUGAUUUUAAUGAAAUGAUUGAGUUUGUUAUAGUUGAUUCAAAUAGUUUACAAUUUUGAUUGAAUGUAUCUUAUUUCAUUUGUUUUAGAGCUGCAUCUUGAGAACUCCUUCCCUUGACAGACUCGAAUGAUUAGUGAUAGGUAGUUUGCAACGACCUUUAUAAGUCUUAUAAUCAACUUAUUGUUUGGACUUCUCCAGGAAUUCGACAUACUGAGAAACACAAAGCUGCUCCGAGACUGUCUUCUGAUUCUCGAACUCAUGUUGGUGGAACCACUGGGAAUGAUAUGGUGUGUGUAUAUGUAUUUUGAUUUGUAUGAUUUGUUGUUAGCCCUCUGAAUAUGUAGUUAUCUUUGACGUUGGUAUUACAUGCAAAGAUAUUUUAUAAUUUUCUUUUCCCUGGGGACUCUCUAUAUUUGAUAACUUAAAAAUCGACUGAUGCAGUUCAUGCUUGAGCUGGGGCAAAGAUCUUCGAGACGAGCCACUGGAACACCAAUGAAGAAGUUACUGGAAGAAGAAAUGUCAAAAGAAAUUGAAGUUAAAAGACGAUCACCGAGUGUUGUUGCCAGAUUGAUGGGUCUUGAUGGGCUUCCAUAUCCACGGCAUAUUCAUAGACAACAAAGGAGUUCUUCAGAUAACUAUCAACAAAAAAAUAUCUCGAGCAUUCAACAUAGUGGCCAACUAGUUGAUGGGAAAUCAAGUAGGAGAACCUCAAUGGAUUGUCAAGAAUUCAAGGAUGUGUAUGAAGAUGUGGAAGCAUCUCACAUCGCGAGUCGCCGUUAUUCAUCAAGAUGGAGUGCAAACUCAAAGCUUACAAAACCUGAGUCUGCACUCAUUCAGCCGAAGUUUACGAAUGCAAAACAUCUUUCCACCAAUGAAAAGCUUCUAGGUUCAAAAAAAUUUUCUGAAACACUUGAGUUGGUAGACUCAAAUGACUCAUUUCAGAAAUUUCUUCAGCAUCCAGAUUCCUUAUUUGUAAAGCAUAUUCAUGAUCUAGAAGUUGAUCCUUCCAGUUCUCUUCAUGGUCACAUAAAAGUUCUGAAGCCAUCAAAUUCUGCAAAGUAUGAAAACAAUGCCAAGGCAUGGAAAUCAGAGAGAGAGAUUUCAUGCAAACAUGCCAUGAUCCAGAAACUUGAAGAUGGCCUUUUAUUCCACCCACGCAAUUGCCAUAUAGCUCAUGUUUCUUGCAAGUCACCAAAGAUUCAAUUACAAGAGAUGAAUAGCAGAAAAACUCUUCCCACGAAGAUUGUUGUUCUCAAGCCAAACCUUGGAAAGAUACACAGUGCUCGUGCAUCUGAUUCAUCGCCUGACUACUCACAUAAUUACCCCUCCAACUUUAGGAAGCUCGCAGAAUAUAGAAGUGUUGGAGCCACUGAAAUACUAUAUGGGAAAAGGAGAGAUUCAUCU